rnacentral:sRNA from 1 species
UGAUCCCAAGGUGUUUUAUCUGGCGUCUAUAGUUUUUAUAAUAAUAAUAAUCUGAGCUUUUUAAUCUGCUAUUUAAAUCUUAUUUGUCUUGUCAUAAAGUAUGGAAAGACAAAAAUAACUAGUAUAGUAAAAUUAAUACAUUUAAAGGCUAUUUGACAAACGCAGUUAAUGUUUUAGAUUCAAACUAGAAGGAAACUUUUAAAGAUUUGCUCCUAACAGGCCUGAUCGGAGCAGGAGAUUACAUCUAAUUGUUUUAUGGUCUCAUUGGAGCAAUGACCUGUCUUCCAAUUGUUCUUGUCUGGACUUGCUGUAUGUCCUUGGCUGUGACUAGAGCUUACUACGUCUUCCGUGUAACAGACACUGCAAGAGCCACGUACCUAAAUCUGAUGAAUGAGGAGAGGAAGAAGCUCCGACUUGAACCCUUGUCUUGGAGCACUUUUUACAUGGACAGGGCCAAUACUUAUGACAGCAUGUGCGAUAACCACGUAGGGUACUCACCACCAGCAGAUAAAUAUGGUCAAAUUUUGUUCAGGUCUAA